ACACACACACACAGACACACACAUAUAAAUUAACUAAUAUAUAACAAAAUUUUGGGGUAUUUUUCUAGAUAAAUUUUCUAUAUAUCAAAAUUAGGUACACACACACACACACACAGACACACACAUAUAAAUUAACUAAUAUAUAACAAAAUUUUGGGGUAUUUUUCAAGAUAAAUUUUCUAUAUAUCAAAAUUAGUCGCACACACACACACACACACACACACACACACACACACAUAAAUAAACUAAUAUAUAUCAAAAUUUGGGAGGUAUUUUUCUAGACAAGUUUUUUUCUGUAUAUCAAAAUUAGGUACACACACACACACACACACACAUAUAAAUUAACUAAUAUAUAACAAAAUUUUGGGGUAUUUUUCUAGAUAAAUUUUCUAUAUAUCAAAAUUAGGUACACACACACACACACACACACACAUAAAUAAACUAAUAUAUAUCAAAAUUUAGGGGUAUUUUUCUAGAUAAAUUUUCUAUAUAUCAAAAUUAGGUACACACACACACACACACACACACACACACACACAUAAAUAAACUAAUAUAUAUCAAAAUUUUGGGGUAUUUUUCUAGAUAAAUUUUCUAUAUAUCAAAAUUAGGUACACACACACACACACACACACACA